rnacentral:snoRNA from 1 species
GGCACUUGUAUGUGUUUUGGUCUUAACUUGUGGACUAAAACUUAAUGGACAGGUGCAAAAAAUAAAUCAUCUUUUGCAACACAGAACUCAUUGCUCGGCACGAGUUUCGGUGCAUAGCAGAAGGAAUAUU